ACGCUGUGAAGACCUGUGUCACUUGUGAAGUAUCCUACUGUGACGAGUGCCUGAAAGCCACUCACCCGAAUAAGAAGCCCUUUACAGGCCAUCGUCUGAUUGAGCCAAUUCCGGACUCUCACAUCCGGGGGCUGAUGUGCUUGGAGCAUGAGGAUGAGAACAAAACUUAGAGAGUAACCUCACCAACCUUAUUAAGAGGAACACAGAACUGGAGACCCUUUUGGCUAAACUCAUCCAAACCUGUCAACAUGUUGAGUCAAUGCAUCACGUCAAGAAGCCAAAUUGACAGAGGAGUGUGAUCUUCUCAUUGAGAUCAUUCAGCAAAGACGACAGAUUAUUGGAACCAAGAUCAAAGAAGGGAAGUGAUGAGGCUUCGCAAACUGGCUCAGCAGAUUGCAAACUGCAAACAGUGCAUUGAGCGGUCAGCAUCACUCAUCUCCCAAGCGGAACACUCUCUGAAGGAGAAUGAUCAUGCGCGUUUCCUACAGACUGCUAAGAAUAUCACCGAGAUUUGAAAUUUUGGAGACUCUCCUUUGAAGUG
rnacentral:lncRNA from 1 species